rnacentral:rRNA from 1 species
UACGAAGGGGGCGAGCGUUAUUCGGAAUUAUUGGGCGUAAAGCGCGUGUAGGCGGUUUGUUAAGUCUGAUGUGAAAGCCCCGGGCUCAACCUGGGAAGUGCAUUGGAUACUGGCAGACUUGAGUACGGGAGAGGAGAGUGGAAUUCCCAGUGUAGGAGUGAAAUCCGUAGAUAUCGGGAGGAACACCAGUGGCGAAGGCGGCAUCCUGGCUCAUAACUGACGCUGAGUCGCGAAAGCGUGGGGAUCAAACAGGAUUAGAAACCCUGGUAGU